CCUGUUUCCAAUCCGAAAAACCCCGUAAUCCAUCACACCUGAGCCGUGCUGUUGAAGGGCUGAUUAGGUGAGUCUCGGGGCUGGAGUUGAAGCUGGAUUUCUGAUCCAUCAAUUCAGCGCGUUUUGACUGAGAUAACCGGCCGAGAGGAUGACAGCUCGGGUGUGCUGCUCGUUAACUGCUGUUUUGUUGUGUCUCUCUGUAUACUUGAGCACAAUAGACGCCAAAGGACGUGUCACAAUAAAAGGAAUUGUUCGUUUGGGUAAAGAGUGGUUACCAGAAAAGCCAGGAGUGUGUGUAAGCAACAACCUUUGAGUAGGAAUUUGGUUCUAUAUUAUAGAUCAGUGGUUGAGAUGUGU